rnacentral:rRNA from 1 species
UUCGGAGCAGUGGCGGACGGGUGAGUAACGCGUGGGAAUGUGCCCUUUGGUACGGAACAACACAGGGAAACUUGUGCUAAUACCGUAUGUGCCCUUCGGGGGAAAGACUUAUCGCCAUUGGAGCAGCCCGCGUUGGAUUAGGUAGUUGGUGAGGUAAAGGCUCACCAAGCCUACGAUCCAUAGCUGGUCUGAGAGGAUGAUCAGCCACACUGGGACUGAGACACGGCCCAGACUCCUACGGGAGGCAGCAGUAGGGAAUCUUGCGCAAUGGGCGAAAGCCUGACGCAGCCAUGCCGCGUGAAUGAUGAAGGUCUUAGGAUUGUAAAAUUCUUUCACCGGGGAAGAUAAUGACGGUACCCGGAGAAGAAGCCCCGGCUAACUUCGUGCCAGCAGCCGCGGUAAUACGAAGGGGGCUAGCGUUGCUCGGAAUUACUGGGCGUAAAGGGCGCGUAGGCGGACAACUUAGUCAGAGGUGAAAGCCCAGGGCUCAACCUUGGAAAUGCCUUUGAUACUGGUUGUCUUGAGUUCGGGAGAGGUGAGUGGAAUGCCGAGUGUAGAGGUGAAAUUCGUAGAUAUUCGGCGGAACACCAGUGGCGAAGGCGACUCACUGGCCCGAUACUGACGCUGAGGCGCGA